rnacentral:lncRNA from 1 species
ACGAGCACAAAGCAAUACGCUGGCGCGUGCAACUACUACACGCCUACUCACGAGCAGAGGGCACAUCACUUGCCGGGGACGAAGUUGGUGGCGUACGCCCAUGCGUUGUUGGCGACGGGGUCGGCGACGUGGUCGAAGAGGUUCUCGAUGGGUCCCUUGCCGGUGACGAUGGCCUGCACGAAGAACCCGAACAUGGAGAACAUGGCGAGGCGGCCGUUCUUGAGCUCCUUCACCUUGAGCUCGGCGGCGGUGUCCGGGUCGUCGGCGAGGCCCAGCGGGUCGAAGGCGCCGCCGGGGUAGACCUUGUCGAGUCCCUCCCCGAGCGGGCCGCCGCCGACGCGGUAGCCCUCGACGAAGCCCAUGAGCACGACCUGGCAGGCCCAGAUGGCCAGGAUGCUCUGCGCGUGCACCAGGUUGGGGUUGCCCAGGUAGUCCAGCCCGCCCUCGGAGAAGAUCUGCGCGCCGGCCUUGAACCACACCGCCUCGCCGAACUUGACGCCGUUCUUGGCAAGGAUCUCCGGGAACACGCACCCCAGCGCGCCGAGCAUGGCCCACCGCGAGUGGAUCACCUCCAGCUCGCGGUUGCGCGCGAAGGUCUCCGGGUCGGCGGAGAGCCCCGCGGUGUCCCACCCGUAGUCGCCGGGGAACUCGCCGGUCAGGUACGACGGCGUCUGCUCCGAGAACGGGCCCAGGUACUUGGGGCGGUCAGGGCCGUACCUGCACGUACGUAGCUGAUGAUGCGUCGUCCAUGGAUCAAUCAUCAAGAGACAAAAGCAACUGACGAUGAGCAUGCACGUACCAGAUGCUCUGGGGAGCGCUCUUGACGGUGCGGCGCAUGGUGAUGCGGCCGCCGGCAUCGGCGGCGGCGGCGGGGCGGGAGACCAGGGCCUGGCCGAGGAAGCUGGUGGUCUGGUGGAGCGCCGACGCGGCCAUCUUCUGCGUGUCCGGUGAGCACGACGGCGCUGCUGCCUACUGGUCA